CACUAGUUAGUUGGUAAGGUAACAGCUUACCAAGGCGAAGAUGGGUAGCCGGCCUGAGAGGGUGAACGGCCACACUGGGACUGAGAUACGGCCCAGACUCCUACGGGAGGCAGCAGUAGGGAAUAUUGGACAAUGGGGGAAACCCUGAUCCAGCGACACCGUGUGUGUGAAGAAGCUUUUCGGAGUGUAAAGCACUUUUAAUGGGGAAGAAUAAGAAUCUAUAGGAUUCGAUGACGGUACCCAUGGAAUAAGCUCCGGCUAACUCCGUGCCAGCAGCCGCGGUAAUACGGGGGGAGCAAACGUUAUCCGGAAUCAUUGGGCGUAAAGGGUGCGUAGGCGGACACGCAAGUUGGGGGUGAAAUGUAUCGGCUUAACCGAUAACUGGCCUUCAAAACUGCGUGUCUAGAAUAUAAGAGGGGAAGACGGAACUCCUGGUGUAGCGGUGAAAUGCGUAGAUAUCAGGAGGAACACCGGCGGCGAAAGCGGUCUUCUGGAUUAAUAUUGACGCUGAUGCACGAAAGCGUGGGGAGCGAACAGGAUUAGAUACCCUGGUAGUCCACGCCGUAAACGAUGGAUACUAGGUGUGGGGUCUUAUAACGAGAUCCGUGCCGAAGCUAACGUGAUAAGUAUCCCGCCUGGGGGAGUAUACUCGCAAGAUUUAAAAACUCAAAAGGAAAUUGAACGGGGGCCCGC
rnacentral:rRNA from 1 species